rnacentral:ncRNA from 1 species
UGCCGAUAAUAGCAAACUCGUCGAAAGGCGGGGACGCAAAGCCUUGGGUCUAAUGGAUGCAAGUCCUAUGAUUGCCAGGUUGCCGAA